rnacentral:tRNA from 1 species
GAGGUAUGAGGUUCAAGAAAAAGCUGCUAACUUUUUUCUUUAAUGGUUUAACUCCAUUUAUACCUUU